GCAGUCGCGCAAUUACCCAAUCCCGACACGGGGAGGUAGUGACAAUAAAUACUGAUACAGGGCUCUUUUGGGUCUUGUAAUUGGAAUGAGUACAAUUUAAAUCCCUUAACGAGGAACAAUUGGAGGGCAAGUCUGGUGCCAGCAGCCGCGGUAAUUCCAGCUCCAAUAGCGUAUAUUAAAGUUGUUGUGGUUAAAAAGCUCGUAGUUGAACCUUGGGCCUGGCUGGCCGGUCCGCCUCACCGCGUGUACUGGUCCGGCCGGGCCUUUCCCUCUGUGGAGCCCCAUGCCCUUCACUGGGUGUGGCGGGGAAACAGGACUUUUACUUUGAAAAAAUUAGAGUGCUCCAGGCAGGCCUAUGCUCGAAUACAUUAGCAUGGAAUAAUAGAAUAGGACGUGUGGUUCUAUUUUGUUGGUUUCUAGGACCGCCGUAAUGAUUAAUAGGGACAGUCGGGGGCAUCAGUAUUCAAUUGUCAGAGGUGAAAUUCUUGGAUUUAUUGAAGACUAACUACUGCGAAAGCAUUUGCCAAGGAUGUUUUCAUUAAUCAGGAACGAAAGUUGGGGGAUCGAAGACGAUCAGAUACCGUCGUAGUCUUAACCAUAAACUAUGCCGACUAGGGAUCGGACGAUGUUAUUUUUUUGACUCGUUCGGCACCUUACGAGAAAUCAAAGUGCUUGGGCUCCAGGGGG
rnacentral:rRNA from 1 species